rnacentral:rRNA from 1 species
GAUGAACGCUGGCGGCGUGCCUAAUACAUGCAAGUCGAGCGAAUGGAUUAAGAGCUUGCUCUUAUGAAGUUAGCGGCGGACGGGUGAGUAACACGUGGGUAACCUGCCCAUAAGACUGGGAUAACUCCGGGAAACCGGGGCUAAUACCGGAUAACAUUUUGAACCGCAUGGUUCGAAAUUGAAAGGCGGCUUCGGCUGUCACUUAUGGAUGGACCCGCGUCGCAUUAGCUAGUUGGUGAGGUAACGGCUCACCAAGGCAACGAUGCGCAGCCGACCUGAGAGGGUGAUCGGCCACACUGGGACUGAGACACGGCCCAGACUCCUACGGGAGGCAGCAGUAGGGAAUCUUCCGCAAUGGACGAAAGUCUGACGGAGCAACGCCGCGUGAGUGAUGAAGGCUUUCGGGUCGUAAAACUCUGUUGUUAGGGAAGAACAAGUGCUAGUUGAAUAAGCUGGCUCCUUGACGGUACCUAACCAGAAAGCCACGGCUAACUACGUGCCAGCAGCCGCGGUAA